ACGCACGCUGGCGGCGUGCUUAACACAUGCAAGUCGCACGGUAAGGCUCCAGCUUGCUGGGGUACACGAGUGGCGAACGGGUGAGUAACACGUGGGUGACCUGCCCUGCACUUCGGGAUAAGCCUGGGAAACUGGGUCUAAUACCGGAUAGGACCGCACCGUGAGGGUGUGGUGGAAAGUUUUUUCGGUGUGGGAUGGGCCCGCGGCCUAUCAGCUUGUUGGUGGGGUAAUGGCCUACCAAGGCGGCGACGGGUAGCCGGCCUGAGAGGGUGGACGGCCACAUUGGGACUGAGACACGGCCCAGACUCCUACGGGAGGCAGCAGUGGGGAAUAUUGCACAAUGGGCGGAAGCCUGAUGCAGCGACGCCGCGUGGGGGAUGACGGCCUUCGGGUUGUAAACUCCUUUCACCAUCGACGAAGGGUUUCUGACGGUAGAUGGAGAAGAAGCACCGGCUAACUACGUG
rnacentral:rRNA from 1 species